rnacentral:lncRNA from 1 species
UAUCACCUUCUUUGGCUAGAUAUUUAAGCCUUUUCACAAUUACAGUUCAUUGCGCCCUCGACUUGAGAAUUAAGGAGAUUAGCUUGCUGGUUUUUCCAUCUUCCAAUCCACAACAAAUCAAAUGAAACCUGGCGAAAAAAAAGUGAACACUUUGCUGAAGAACGAAGCUUCAUGUUUGUUUCUCUUCAAAGCCCUAAGCCGUUUUCGCUCGCUACUACUAACGAGCUCUCGAUUGAUUUCCCUUCCUUUAGCUACUCAGAUGUUUCAAUUCACUAAGUUUCAAAAGUCCAAAGAGUGCAGACUAGCCUCGGAGCUUGGAUACGGUUUCCUGAUCGAAGAUCCAUGGAUCAUACGAUAUCUCCCCAUGGCCUUUCGCCUUUGAAAGCGUCCUUCCUUCUUAAUGCCCUGGCAUCUAUCCAAUGCAUUCUUUUUGAUCUGGUACUAAGGUACACUGAAC